CUUCGAGAUAGACCUCGUUAUACAAUCGUAACAACUCGGCCAUGGCCGAAAUGUUCCGAGCGAUUUAAAACUGUGCCCUGAAGCCUUGCAGGUGCCCUUCAUGUAUAUAUCGUUAUGUUUUGACAGAAUGAAAUGAAGAAAAGCCGUCAAACUCAUAAUUAUAAGUUGGAUAUUUAUUUUUUGUGUACGGAACGAAUAUAAAAUAACAUUAUCUGAUCUUGACAUGGAUCCAAGAUGCUGGUAACUAGGCGGGACGGAUUGUUACACAGAACUGCAGGUUUUUGGAAGGAGACUCAGCGCCAUGUCACAAAUACUUCAGAACCUAGAAUGAAAGUUAUCGAAAGAGCAAUAGACUUUCCAAUCUCUACAAAAUUCAUCUUAACUGUUUUUCAAGGUGAUACUUGAGACUACCAAAGACUUUUCAAGGACAGAAUUCACAAAACAGUUUAUGCCACCAUCUCAUAUCAAAGGAUUGUGCUUGAGUUGAACAGCCUUCAAACAGAAACUGUUUCAACACCUUCAAUGGAUUCAUUCUGAUUCAGUUUACCCUUGCUGUGAUCUGAGCAACUAUUUACAUCAGUUCAACAUUGUAAAUUGUUUAAACUUGAAAAUUCUGUCUUCGUGCAACUGACAUGAAUCUAUUUACUGUGGACUUUGAUGUUGGCUCUAUACAGGAAGAAGAGACCAUCUUUAUACAUGCUGGCAUAUCUUUUAAAAAGGAAACAAAUAUUAUAACCAACAUACUACACUGUUAUGUCAUCCAAAGACUCAGCUACUGACUCAA